rnacentral:rRNA from 1 species
GACGAACGCUGGCGGCGUGCCUAAUACAUGCAAGUCGAGCGGACCAAAGGGAGCUUGCUCCUGGAGGUUAGCGGCGAACGGGUGAGUAACACGUGGGCAACCUGCCUGUAAGACUGGGAUAACAUCGAGAAAUCGGUGCUAAUACCGGAUAAUAAAAAGAACUGCAUGGUUCUUUUUUGAAAGAUGGUUUCGGCUAUCACUUACAGAUGGGCCGCGGCGCAUUAGCUAGUUGGUGAGGUAACGGCUCACCAAGGCGACGAUGCGUAGCCGACCUGAGAGGGUGAUCGACCACACUGGGACUGAGACACGGCCCAGACUCCUACGGGAGGCAGCAGUAGGGAAUCUUCCGCAAUGGACGAAAGUCUGACGGAGCAACGCCGCGUGAGUGAUGAAGGUUUUCGGAUCGUAAAACUCUGUUGUUAGGGAAGAACAAGUGCCGUUCGAAAGGGCGGCACCUUGACGGUACCUAACGAGAAAGCCACGGCUAACUACGUGCCAGCAGCCG